rnacentral:rRNA from 1 species
CGGCUCAGUAACACGUGGAUAACCUACCCUCAGAUCUGGGAUAACUCCGGGAAACUGGAGAUAAUACCGGAUAACCCGUGAACGCUGGAAUGCCUUACGGUUGAAAGCUUUAGCGUCUGAGGAUGGGUCUGCGGCCGAUUAGGUAGUUGCUGGGGUAACGUCCCAACAAGCCGAUAAUCGGUACGGGUUGUGAGAGCAAGAGCCCGGAGAUGGAUUCUGAGACACGAAUCCAGGUCCUACGGGGCGCAGCAGGCGCGAAAACUUUACACUGCGCGAAAGCGCGAUAAGGGGACCUCGAGUGCGUGCGCAAAGCGUACGCUUUUCAGAUGCCUAAAAAGCAUCUGGAAUAAGGGCCGGGCAAGACCGGUGCCAGCCGCCGCGGUAACACCGGCGGCUCAAGUGGUGGCCGCUAUUAUUGGGCUUAAAGGGUCCGUAGCCGGACCAGUUAGUCCCUUGGGAAAUCUUACGGCUUAACCGUAAGGCUGCCAAUGGAUACUGCUGGUCUUGGGACCGGGAGAGGCAAGAGGUACCUCAGGGGUAGGAGUGAAAUCCUGUAAUCCUUGAGGGACCGCCAGUGGCGAAGGCGUCUUGCUAGAACGGGUCCGACGGUGAGGGACGAAAGCUAGGGGCACGAACCGGAU